rnacentral:lncRNA from 1 species
UUAGGACUAGGAUCUUGACUCCUGCUUUUGGAGUUUGUAAUAUGAGGCCUUGGGAUUCAUAUGGUACCUUGACUUUGAACUUCUUUUAAAUACUUGUCUUGGUUACUUUGGUUUCAUCUGAUACAUGGAUUAUCCUUUAUUUGGUUUGCUUGAGGCUAAAUCCAAAUGAGGGAAUUCUUGCUUGACUCAUGUCAUAAAGCUUGCUAUCUCUUGGUUAGAUUUUUCCUCUCUAGCUUUUACUUUAUCUUCUAGGAAU